CCUACGGGUGGCAGCAGUGAGGAAUAUUGGUCAAUGGACGGAAGUCUGAACCAGCCAUGCCGCGUGCAGGAAGACGGUUUUCGGAUUGUAAACCUCUGUCAGUGGGGACGAUAAUGACGGUACCCACGGAGGAAGCCACGGCUAACUACGUGCCAGCAGCCGCGGUAAUACGUAGGUGGCAAGCGUUGUCCGGAAUUACUGGGUGUAAAGGGAGCGUAGGCGGGAUGUCAAGUCAGAAGUGAAAAUUAUGGGCUCAACUCAUAACCUGCUUUUGAAACUGAUAUUCUUGAGUGAAGUAGAGGCAAGCGGAAUUCCUAGUGUAGCGGUGAAAUGCGUAGAUAUUAGGAGGAACACCAGUGGCGAAGGCGGCUUGCUGGGCUUUUACUGACGCUGAGGCUCGAAAGCGUGGGGAGCAAACAGGAUUAGAUACCCGAGUAGUC
rnacentral:rRNA from 1 species